rnacentral:snoRNA from 1 species
AUCCCAUGAUGAGGACAGGCGUCCACAUAUUCUUGAAGUCGUUCCCACGCCUCAGGAAUAGACUCGUCCCUUGUCUGCUAGAAACUUGAAAUUCUCCCACAAAGGGC